rnacentral:rRNA from 1 species
GAGUUUGAUCAUGGCUCAGGACGAACGCUGGCGGCACGCUUAACACAUGCAAGUCGAACGAGAACCUCGGAGCUUGCUCCGAGGGGACAGUGGCGAACGGGUGAGUAACACGUGAGGAACCUGCCCCGAAGACCGGGACAACACCGGGAAACCGGUGCUAAUACCGGAUGCCCUCACCGGACCGCAUGAUCCGGUGAGGAAAUGGAUUCCGCUUCGGGAUGGUCUCGCGGCCUAUCAGCUUGUUGGUGGGGUAACGGCCUACCAAGGCUUCGACGGGUAGCUGGUCUGAGAGGAUGUCCAGCCACACUGGGACUGAGACACGGCCCAGACUCCUACGGGAGGCAGCAGUGGGGAAUCUUGCGCAAUGGGCGAAAGCCUGACGCAGCGAUGCCGCGUGCGGGAUGAAGGCC